rnacentral:rRNA from 1 species
UGGGGAAUAUUGCACAAUGGGCGCAAGCCUGAUGCAGCGACGCCGCGUGAGGGAUGGAGGCCUUCGGGUUGUAAACCUCUAUCGCCAGUGAAGCAGGCCAUCUUCUUUGUGGGGUGGUUGACGGUAGCUGGAUAAGAAGCGCCGGCUAACUACGUGCCAGCAGCCGCGGUAAUACGUAGGGCGCGAGCGUUGUCCGGAAUUAUUGGGCGUAAAGAGCUCGUAGGCGGCUGGUCGCGUCUGUCGUGAAAUCCCCUGGCUUAACUGGGGGGUUGCGGUGGGUACGGGCCGGCUUGAGUGCGGUAGGGGAGACUGGAAUUCCUGGUGUAGCGGUGGAAUGCGCAGAUAUCAGGAGGAACACCGGUGGCGAAGGCGGGUCUCUGGGCCGUUACUGACGCUGAGGAGCGAAAGCGUGGGGAGCGAACAGG